UACGUAGGGUGCAAGCGUUGUCCGGAAUUAUUGGGCGUAAAGAGCUCGUAGGCGGUUUGUCGCGUCUGCUGUGAAAUCCCGAGGCUCAACCUCGGGUCUGCAGUGGGUUCGGGCAGACUAGAGUGUGGUAGGGGAGAUUGGAAUUCCUGGUGUAGCGGUGGAAUGCGCAGAUAUCAGGAGGAACACCGAUGGCGAAGGCAGAUCUCUGGGCCAUUACUGACGCUGAGGAGCGAAAGCAUGGGGAGCGAACAGG
rnacentral:rRNA from 1 species